rnacentral:rRNA from 1 species
UGCCAGACUCCUACGGGAGGCAGCAGUGAGGAAUAUUGGUCAAUGGGCGCGAGCCUGAACCAGCCAAGUCGCGUGAGGGAUGACGGCCCUACGGGUUGUAAACCUCUUUUGUCGGGGAGCAAAGAGAGUCACGUGUGACUCAUUGAGAGUACCCGAAGAAAAAGCAUCGGCUAACUCCGUGCCAGCAGCCGCGGUAAUACGGAGGAUGCGAGCGUUAUCCGGAUUUAUUGGGUUUAAAGGGUGCGCAGGCGGAGGUGCAAGUCAGCGGUCAAAUUGCGGGGCUCAACCCCGUACUGCCGUUGAAACUGCAUCCCUUGAGUGCGCGAGAAGUAUGCGGAAUGCGUGGUGUAGCGGUGAAAUGCAUAGAUAUCACGCAGAACCCCGAUUGCGAAGGCAGCCUUCCGGCGCCCUACUGACGCUGAGGCACGAAAGUGCGGGGAUCGAACAGGAUUAGAUACCCUAGUA